CCGAUCUCAACUCUCCCUCUCUUCUUCCUCUUCCACCGUGAAAAGAGCUCUCCUCCUCCAAUAACUCUCUCACCGUCGAUUUGCAACUCUGUAAAUCCUUCCCCCACACCAUCUUCUCAAUUGGGCUCUCUCUCUCUCUCUCUCUCUCUCUCUCUCUCUCUCUCUCUCUCUCUCUCUCUCUCUCUCUCUCUCUCUCUCAUUAAUUUGAUAUCAAAAUCAAGGAUUAUAUACAAAGUUGGAAAAAGUAGCAGAGAUCGAUCGAGUAGUUAAAGGUAAACAUCUUCCUUCUAUUUGUUCUUUUAUGGUUGUGUCUUGUAAUUUAUUGUUCGUGUUUCUGUAAAGGUAGGGAUUUUCUCAAACGGAGUUGGAUUUCUUAGAUUUAGCUUUUAAUCUGUGUUCUAAUUUGUUGUUGGUUUUGCUGUUGUUGUUGAAGUUGAAGUUGUUGAUGAAUAGCAUAAGGCAUAUAAUGCGGUGGGUAAUGUUGAGGUGGCAUCAUUUGAUGUUGCAUCACCAUUGCUGUUGUUGGAUAUUGCAUUGCCAUCCAUUGUUGUUGUUGUUGUUGCAUCUACUUUGGAUCCACUCCUCCAUUCGUUGAUUGCAUCUUCUUCUUUUUCUUUUUCUUAAUUAAAAUUAAAUAAAAAUAAAAAUUUUAUUCUUUUAAGUUGAAAUUUGUAGAAAAAUCGAAAAAAGGUAGUGAAGAAAACCAGAGAGAAAGAGAAAAGAGAGUAUUAAACUGUUAAGGUUAAUAAGAGGAUUGAUUGACAAUUGUGGCGUUGAUAGUCUUACGUUUGGAUUGAGAUGAGAUUUUGUAUGUUGGAUUAAACGGUGUGAGUUUGAUUAAAACUGUUGGAUUGAAGUAAUAUCUUUUACUGAAUGAAAUAAGUUUGAUUCGAUUUCAUCAAACGGGGUUGGAUUGGAUUUCUUAGAUUUAGCUUUUAAUCUGUGUUCUAAUUUGUUGUAGAAAUAAGUUCGAUUCGAUUUCAUCAAACGGGGUUGGAUUUCUUAAAUUGGCGUUUGUUGCGUUU
rnacentral:lncRNA from 1 species